CCCCACACGCCGUGGAGCUCAGGGCACUCUCCUGCCUGCCCACAAAGACCUCCUGGGUGGGAAAGACUCAAAGGGGCGCUUGGGCCACUCAGGACCCCUCCGGUUGUGUCGGACUGGGGAGGGAUAUGAUGGAGACCCAGCCAGUGGGGCUGUCAGCAGUGGGGGGCUUUUUAAAAGAAAACUAUUUUGAUGAAUAUAUUUUAAAAACCUUUUUUUUUUUUAUUGUGGAGCAUAGGAAUUUCCCCCCUCCAGGCUUCACCCUCCCUGCCUAAGCAGGGUGGGGGCAGAGCCUUGACAUUUUUGGUUUAAAGGAGCCUUCUCAUCUCUGGCCAAGAACACUGCUGGGCUCCCAGGUAGCUGAAGACCUCAGCCCACCCACUCCCUUCUCCUUCCCUGUGUGGGGCUCAAGCCUGGUGCACUUAGUAUAGAAGAGCUCAUGUACUCAGGCUGGUGCCAUGGGUGAGCACUGAGGUCCCAAGUGUCCUCCCUCCCCCACUGUCUGGGACAACAGGACAAGUGUUGUGUCUGACUCUGUCUCCCCCUGUCCAGGAGCUAUAGGCCGGUUGAGGCAAGUGGAACCUUAUCAGUGACUUGUCCAACAAGGGAAGCCUUGGGGCCUCAGAAUUCAUUGAAGAUUUGUUUUGGGACAACUGGAAGAAUCAGCACCAUGGAUACUUGCCCGUGGGCAGGGCUGUGGUCAGCCAAGAAUAGAGGUCAUAUAGUUGGGCCAUGGGGCAAUUGUUGGCAGCCAUGACUGAUGGCCCCUUGUGCAAGCUCAUUCUUCAGUGGAUCCUUCAGUGGAGUGGUGACACAUGCCAGCGGUCACUCUGCCACAUCACUUCUUUCUUGAAAGCCUAAGAGUGCGUAUGCAUGUGUGUGUGUCUGUGUGUGUGUGCACGUGAGGCAGAAGAAUAUGACAGAUGUCAACUUCUCCCUGUGUCAAAUGAUAUGCCCUUGAAGCUGGCAGGGGAUUCCCAGUCCAGGGAAUAUCCCUACAUGAUUUUUGUCGUUCAUGGGUCGUCCCUGGGCCUGCCAACAAGAGUGGUGGGUGGGUAGAGGGAUAAGGCCCAAGUGAGUACAGGUUCUGAGAGGGGGCUUCUAGGAAGGCCCCAGCCCUAGUACUAGGCGACUUGAAUAAAGUGGGAGGUCAAACAUGAGCCUUUGGCAUUGGGUUUCUAGGGAAUAUGACCCAGUAGGGCCUGCUCCUUCAAGGGCAGCAAGAACCAAGCAGGAUGUUGUCACUCCCGUCUGAAUAAAGCUCCAUGAGCUGGGUUGGAAAGCUGAACAUUUAUCUUGCUUUCUUCUUCCCACCUCUUUCCCUGGAGUCUCCAGGGGUGUCUUGCCUUUGCUAACCCCCAUCUGAGACCUGAGGGUCUGGGGAUGGUUGGGCCUGCCUUUCUGCUGUUCCUGGCUGUUCCCCUGCUGACAUCCCUAGGAGUGGUGGAAUGCCAGGCUCCUGUGCUGUGGCCUAAGCGGGCCUGGGGCAUCACUGGGCCCGCUUUCAGACUGAAGUUGCUCUAUGUUCUCACUGCCUGAGGCCAGUGUCCUGCCACCACCUGCCUGCCUUAGGGCCAUACUCAACUUCAGCUUCUCUUCCCCAGCGAUGGCUUCCCAUGGUACCCUGCUGUUUAUGCCACCUGUGGGGCUGUUCCCCUCCUCAGAGAGGGGAAUGGGGCUGGUCAAAGGACCCAGGGAUUACCUUUUCACUUUUUUCCCCCACCCGCAUGUCAGGCUCAGGUGAGAAGCUGAGACCAGGCUGUCCAAAGCUCUUUUCAUGUGUAACAGUCCUGAGUCCCUUGACCUCCCCUUGGCCUAACUCUGGCCUUGGUUCCACUAAGGCAGAGUCCUCUUGUCUCUUCCUGCCAUCCCCCACUGGACUGUGUCUCUCAGAAACCCCAGGCAGCCUUGCCUCCUGACCUAAUUCCUGGAGAUAUUGGUGUUCCUGGGAGGAAUUUCCCCUGCAUCUUAUGUGCUAGAAGCCCCUGGGGCAAGAGGUAGGGGGAGGAAUUGAGAGGAGGAAAAACGCGAACUCAAUACCUAGAGAAGAAGGAUGUGACUUGUAGUCUCCUAUGUCUAAAUUAGGAAUAUGAAUCUGGUUUUUCUACAAGAAACUUGAGAUCACAGCUGACUGUGUUUCUGAUGCAUCCACCAAACCCAGUUCCAUCUGUGGGCCUCCCUGGCUCUGUCACCCUCCUGAUCACAGGAGUCACAAACCUCAGACGUGCAGCUCCUGUCCAUACUUAAUAUAUGCAUGCACAUUGGAUCAGCCAGCCCUGGUCUUUCUGCUUCCAUGGAUAACUGCAUGACCCUGAGAGCGCAGACCUCCUUAGAUUUAGUAUCCUAGGUUCCUCACAUGCCUCACCCUGAAACCUGGCCCUCCCGCAGCCCCAGCACCAUUUGUCCCAUCAGUGACCAGAUUCAUAUUCUGGUGUAGCCUCUGUUGCCGGAGCCAGUGCUGAACCAGUCUGCUUCUUCCUCGGGAAGUGCCCGCCCUUCCCUCCUGUUAGGGUUGGCUCUCGAGCUUGUGUGCCAGUUCCUGGGUUGGCCGUGAGAGUUCUACAGACAAGGGGGAAGUGCUCUUGGUGUAUUUCCUGUGGUGGGUUCACAUGCAGCUAGACACAGCUAACUUGAGUCUUGGAGCUCCUAGAGGGGAGCUUCUGGAAAGGAAGGCUCUUCAGGACCUCUUGGAAGCCAGAGAAGAGGACAUUGUCACAGAUAAAGAGCCAGCUCACCAGCUCCUGACACAUGCAUCAUGACCAUGAGACACAACUGGACACCAGACCUCAGCUUCUUGUGGGUCCUGCUCCUGUGUGCUCACAUCAUCACUUUUCUGGUCAGAGCCACACCUGUCUCGCAGACCACCACAGCUGCCACUGCCUCAUCUAGAAGCACAAAGGACCCUUGCCCCUCCCAGCCCCCAGUGUUCCCAGCAGCUAAGCAGUGUCCAGCAUUGGAAGUGACCUGGCCAGAGGUGGAAGUGCCACUGAAUGGAACGCUCACCUUAUCCUGUAUGGCCUGUAGCCGCUUCCCCGACUUCAGCAUGCUCUACUGGCUGGGCAAUGGUUCCUUCAUUGAGCACCUCCCAGGCCAGCUGUGGGAGGGGAGCACCAGCCGGGAACAUGGGAGCACAGGUACGCAGCUGUGCAAGGCCUUGGUGCUGGAGCAGCUGACCCCUGCACUGCACAGCACCAACUUCUCCUGUGUGCUCAUGGACCCCGAACAGGUUGUCCAGCGUCACGUCAUCCUGGCCCAGCUCUGGGCUGGGCUGAGGACAACCUUGCCCCCCACCCAAGAAGCCCUGCCCUCCAGCCACAGCACAGGGCCACAGCAGCCCACAGCAGCAGGGUUAAGACUCAGCACAGGGCCAGCAGCAGCACGACCUUGACCAGAGCCUGGGUCCUACCCGUCUACCUGAAGUGAACAGUCCCUGACUGCCUGCAGGCUGUGUGGGCGAGCAACGCACUCCCUCCUCCUCUGCUUUGGGUCCCUUCUCUCACCAAAUUCAAACUCCAUUCCCACCUACCUAGAAAAUCGCAGCCUCCUUAUAAUAAUGCCUCCUCCUCCUGCUGCCAUUUUCUCUCUACCUACCCAUUAGCUUUCCUAACGUCCUACUCCUCACACUGCUCUACUGCUCAGAAACCACCAAGACUGUUGAUGCCUUAGCCUUGCACUCCAGGGCCCUACCUACAUUUCCCACAUUGACUUUCCGGACGCCUCCAACUAUUCUUGCUUUCCCCAGACAGCUCCCACUCCCGUGUCUCUGCUCCUUUAGUCCUGUCUUCCUCACCAUCCCGGCAGGGGAACUCUGAAGCCUGGUUGAAACGCCACCUCUUCAAUGAAGUCACCCUUGUUCAGCUCUGGCCACAUUCUGCAGAUUUCAUGUCUUCUUGCUGUAUGUUGUUUUUUUGUUGUUUUCCUUCCCUCUAAUGGGCUGAUCCCAGGGAAGGGAUGGGGGCAGUGGCUGCUUCGGCUCCACACUGUAUCUGUGUCAUCCCCACAUGGGUCCUCAUAAAGGAUUAUUCAAUAGAGGCAUCCUGACUUCUUUUCAUUUAGGCUUCAGUUCCACUCCCAGGAACUUUGCCUGUCCCAGGAGGGAGUAUGGGAGAGAGGGACUGCCACACAGAAGCUAAAGACAAAACCCGCUUCAGGGGAACACAGGCUCUUGAAAAAGAAGAGAGAAUAGCCCAUAAUGCUCCCCAGGAGCAGAGGCCAGUAAUGGAGACUGGGAAGACCCUGGAAAGAUGCGCCCCCAGGAAAAGGGAUGAGAGAAAGGAGGUGGUCUGGACAAGGGGCUUGCUCACCGUCUUCUCCUUGGAGAGGGCAGAAGAGGUCACACGCAGAGGCUGCUACUACAUCUUAUUCACCCGCCAAGGCUUGGUGCCCAACACCCAGAGGAACGAAUUAAGGACCAGGAAUUGAUUCCCAGGGGCUCUCUGGUGCCCAAAGGACAAGAGCUUCCAAGAAGAGUCUGGCCCGCCUGGCCUUUCCAGCAGCCCAUCACCACCUAAGGGCAUGGAGGACUCCCCACAGCUAAGUGUCAAUUGUGCUGGGAAUCCCAGGCCCUUAACUCUGGCUAAGAGUGCCCCCAACACAGCCAGCCCCUAGAUAGGCAGUUAAGGAAGGCCCUGAGGCUGCAGGAAGAAGGGGCAGGUGGAGGUGGACGGUAGCAAGGAGGCCAGCCUUGGAUUUUUAAAAAGCUUUCCUCUUUUCCCUGUGCCACGAUCCACCUUCCAUUCUAAUUUUGGGGUAUAGUAAGUCCCUGUAGUCCCCUCACCUGGAGGGGCCCCACUGGACACCCUGGCCUGGGAGCGACGAGCAGAACUGCGAGUGGUGGGGCGGUAGCCAGGCAAGCUGAGCAGGGCUGAGUUGCCAUAAUCGGGAGAACUCAGGCGAGCUAGAGACUGAGUAGAGGAUGUGGCUCGCAGGCUAGCCUGGGAAGCCGGAGCAGACCGCGUGCUAUAGAAGGAUGAGUUGGCGCUGUCUGGCUCUUCCACAUCUAGCUUCUGGAAGAGAGAGUGAAUCUGUUGCAAUGGGGUGGGCCCUGGCACUGUACAGAAGCCUCCCAUUCCCUCCCGAAGCCCUCAGAUCCCACGGCACAUCCAUGCAUUCCCAACAGCUUUGCAAAGGCCCUUAACGUGUGUGUCUGCAAGAAAUGGGCCUUGUUGACAGAAGCCCUCACAAGGUGGUGCUGAUGUUGUCAAGACUUUUCUAUGCAUUUUUUUCAUGGAGUCUAUUCAUAAUGCUUUGAGGGAGGGAAUGCAGAGUGUUUAUCGGCCCAUUUUAGAGGUGAAGUGCAAAGAAAUGAAGUGACUAGCCCCAAAUCACACUGCUAGGAAGUAUCAGAGCUGGGGCUGGGCCCCAUGUCUCCUGACUAUUCAGGCUCAUCCCACAGCCUCUGCUGUCCCUCAGUCCAAGCUUCCAGGGCCCUUACCAUUUUCUAGAACUUCCCCAACUUCUUGGUAGCAGGGGACACCCUGCACACACAGGUCCUCCCUGCUGUACCAGGGGCCCCUGUCCCCUCCUCCCAAACCUGCCCUUCAAGAUGUGGAAACAAAGGCAAGGGCCCACAGCCUGGCAGGCAGUCCACUGGGCAGCAACAAUGCCUCUCAGCUGCAUGGGGCAUGCUGGGAGGCACUGGAUGGGCUGCAGCUUCACCAUGUUCUCUCCCUUCACCCUGCACAGGCUCAGUGCUACACAUGGAGAGAACACUAGCCUUAGUCAGGAGGCAGGGAUCUAAUCCCAGCCCUGCCCUUUUCUUCAGAAGUGCCCCCAACCAAGUCACUGCCCUUUUUAAGACCUCAGCUUUCCCACUCACUGUAACACGGACUGGCUGCUCAUCCCUGCGUGCUCCUGACUGAGUGCCCAAUGCAAAGACGCCCUUGAGAGGAAGUCGGAAUUGCUGCCCUGCAGCCCCUGUCCCGGCAGCCUGACCUUGGUCAUGGUGAUGUUGAUGAUCUGUGUGGUGCGCCGACGAGCAGAGCGGGUCUUACGACCUGAGUCCAGGAAGACAUCUCCUAGGGAGUCCAGGCUGCUCUCCAGGGGGGCCUGACUCCGAGCAGGGAUGGGAGUGAAGUAGAGACUCUCCAGGGAUUCUACCUUGGGGGGCAGGCGCUGGGAGAUAGGUGAGGCUGGUUCUCCAGGGACGCUGGUGCCGUCUGGCUGGGUACGAGGCAGCUUGCUAUGGAAAGGAAACCUGCUGAGGUACAGUCCUUUGGACUAGAAGGCAUUUUGUCCAGCCCUUUUCCAAAGUGACCAUUUCCCAUACUUACUACAAGCCGAUGAGGUCAAGCAGCCCAUCUCUCUGAUUUUUCAGAGUACCAAGGAAAGCCCUUGACCUGGGCCUUCCUUUCAGUCCACUCCCCUGGCUUCUCCUAAUACCUCCUCAUAGUGGCAAUGCCCAGACCCAGGUGUCCCAUCCUCACCAGAUGCCCAUGGCUGCUCCACAGCAAACACAUCCCAAUCUAAGCCCACUUCUCUGUUCUUCCUCCGUCUCCCAUUUCAGUGAAUACAAGCACCCGCCACUCAGGCCCCCAAACCAUGAACAUGGGCAUAAUCCUAUGUUGUCCUGCUUGGGAAGCCCAAUCACUAAGCUUCCUGAACAGCUCUCCUAACCACACCCUCUCCAUGCUCAUGUCCUUUCUCUGGUUUGUCUUAUCUCCUCUCACCUAGACUCAUCAUGGCACUGACAGAGGCAGAUGAGUGGUGACAAGCAAGGACUCAGGCCAGGCUGCACAGGGUCAAACCCCAGCUCUACCACUGGGGGACCCUGGGCAAGUGACUGCCCCUCUAUGCCCCAGAUUCAUCUGUUAAAGGAGACAGAAUAAACCUACCUCAGAGGGUUGUUGGGGGAUAAAUCAGGUAUAAUUGUUAUGAGUGCUUUAUGUCUAGCAUAAAAUAAGUACAGUGUAAGUGUUUAAUAAAAACAAUAUAUAUUUCCAGUCUUAA